rnacentral:tRNA from 1 species
GGCGGCGUAGCUCAGCUGGCUAGAGCAUUCGGUUCAUACCCGGGGGGUCGGGGGUUCAAAUCCCUCCGCCGCUACCA